rnacentral:lncRNA from 1 species
GAGUAAAGCCAUACUUCUUUUGAUUUUGAAAUUUGCCACAGUACAACAGAUGUGGUUUCUAUCUUUAGGAUUUUUAAAAUAUUAUACUAGUACUUCGUUAUUUUUGAAGAUGUUUCGAAAGGAAUACUAAAGAAUCCUCUAAGGUUCAUUUCUUAAUCUGGUCCUAAACCCUAUAAAAAAUUUUAAUCUUAUGUACAAAGAAUGGCCCUAGGGUCAUGUUGCUCUGAUACCACCUAUGACGCCCCUAUUUCCACCACUAAAGGUUACAGUCAUCAGUUACUAACUAAUUCUGAGAAUUAGCCAAUCACAACGCAUAAGUAUCAUAAAAAGGAUUAAUUAUUCAUCUCUUGAUCAUGUUGUAAUAAGAAUUACAAUAACAUAAGGUUAAAAAUAUAGGGUUAAUAUUAAAAAUGUCAUUAUCCCUUCAGUAUAGAAUGCUGGAAUUCCAUCUCGCACAUACUACAUGUUUCUCACUGAUCCGAUUUUAGCUCUGGAUUCCAUUGAUUUAAAAAAGAUUAUAAUUUAAUUAAGAGAGCUUUCCACACACUUAGUAAGUAUAAAAAAUAAAUUGUGUUUUAGGCAUGUGAGAUACAAACAUACAAUCAUUCAUAAAUGUAAACAUUUUCCCUUUUCCUUUUUAUUUGAAGACCAUAAUGAACGAAGUAACUAAAUUUCCUAAGUUUUUCCCCCUUCAUUCUCCCUCAUCUAAAUCUCCUAAGUUUUCCCUUUUCCUUCUUUCUACCCUAUUACUAAAUUUAUUCUUAAAUUCCCAUUUUGUUAAAUCCUUUUUUUGCCUCUUAUUUCUUUAGAGAUCCAUUAUUCUCUUUCUUAGUUACCGACACAUUUCAAUCCAUCAUAUCGUGUCAUAACUAAGUCUUCUAUACCCCAUCAAAUGGGUAUCAAGGAUCCACAACUUAGUCACAACAAAAUAAUUAUUUGAGUGCUAAAUUUUAAAGUCUUAUUUCGAGAUUUAACGUGUGUAUCCAUUUAAUAACAAGUAUCAUUUUGGGAUCAAGAUUUUCACUAUCACAUGGGCAGGCACACGACAAAUCAUGUAACAUAUUUUGGUCACAACAGUCCAUCGCCAGGUGACCCAGAACAAAACAUGCAUUCCAACCACGUUUAAAAGGGCUUUCAUCCACCCAGGGAUAAUGUUCACC